rnacentral:tRNA from 1 species
GGAUGUGGCGCAGUCCGGCUAGCGCAUCUGGUUUGGGACCAGGAGGUCGAAGGUUCGAAUCCUUUCAUCC